UGGGGGAUAUUGCACAAUGGGCGAAAGCCUGAUGCAGCGACGCCGCGUGGGGGAUGAAAGCCAUCGGGUUGUAAACUUCUUUUGCUCUGAACAAGGCAUGCUAAUGGGUGUGUUGAGUGUAGGGGUUGAUUAGCGCCGGCUAACUACGUGCCAGCAGCCGCGGUAAUACGUAGGGCGCGAGCGUUGUCCGGAAUUAUUGGGCGUAAAGGGCUUGUAGGUGGCUGGUUGCGUCUGUCGUGAAAGCUCAUGGCUUAACUGUGGGUUUGCGGUGGGUACGGGCUGGCUUGAGUGCAGUAGGGGAGGCUGGAAUUCCUGGUGUAGCGGUGGAAUGCGCAGAUAUCAGGAGGAAUACCGGUGGCGAAGGCGGGUCUCUGGGCUGUUACUGACACUGAGGAGCGAAAGCAUGGGGAGCGAACAGG
rnacentral:rRNA from 1 species